rnacentral:rRNA from 1 species
AGUGAACGCUGGCGGUAGGCCUAACACAUGCCAGUCGAACGGCAGCACAGUAAGAGCUUGCUCUUACGGGUGGCGAGUGGCGGACGGGUGAGGAAUACAUCGGAAUCUACUUUUUCGUGGGGGAUAACGUAGGGAAACUUACGCUAAUACCGCAUACGACCUACGGGUGAAAGCAGGGGAUCUUCGGACCUUGCGCGAUUGAAUGAGCCGAUGUCGGAUUAGCUAGUUGGCGGGGUAAAGGCCCACCAAGGCGACGAUCCGUAGCUGGUCUGAGAGGAUGGUCAGCCACACUAGAACUGAGACACGGUCCAGACUCCUACGGGAGGCAGCAGUGGGGAAUAUUGGACAAUGGGCGCAAGCCUGAUCCAGCCAUACCGCGUGGGUGAAGAAGGCCUUCGGGUUGUAAAGCCCUUUUGUUGGGAAAGAAAAGCAGCAGGUUAAUACCCCGCUGUUCUGACGGUACCCAAAGAAUAAGCACCGGCUAACUUCGUG